GACGAACGCUGGCGGCGUGCUUAACACAUGCAAGUCGAACGGAAAGGCCCUGCUUUUGUGGGGUGCUCGAGUGGCGAACGGGUGAGUAACACGUGAGUAACCUGCCCUUGACUUUGGGAUAACUUCAGGAAACUGGGGCUAAUACCGGAUAGGAGCUCCUGCUGCAUGGUGGGGGUUGGAAAGUUUCGGCGGUUGGGGAUGGACUCGCGGCUUAUCAGCUUGUUGGUGGGGUAGUGGCUUACCAAGGCUUUGACGGGUAGCCGGCCUGAGAGGGUGACCGGCCACAUUGGGACUGAGAUACGGACCAGACUCCUACGGGAGGCAGCAGUGGGGAAUAUCGCACAAUGGGCGGAAGCCUGAUGCAGCAACGCCGCGUGCGGGAUGACGGCCUUCGGGUUGUAAACCGCUUUCGCCUGUGACGAAGCGUGAGUGACGGUAAUGGGUAAAGAAGCACCGGCUAACUACGUG
rnacentral:rRNA from 1 species